rnacentral:rRNA from 1 species
GACGAACGCUGGCGGCGUGCUUAACACAUGCAAGUCGAGCGGAGCGGCGAACGGGUGAGUAACGAGUGAGUAACUGCCCCCCUCUCUGGGAUAACAGUUGGAAACGGCUGCUAAUACCGGAUCGUGGGGGGUGACUCGCGUCCUUUUCGCCUGUUGGUGGGGUAGGGGCCUACCAAGGCGACGACGGGUAGCCGGCCUGGGAGGGCGACCGGCCACAUUGGGCUGAGAUACGGACCAAACUCCUACGGGAGGCAGCAGUGGGGAGUAUAGCACAAUGGGGGGAACCCUGAUGCAGCAACGCCGCGUGCGGGAUGACGGCCUUCGGGUUGUAAACCGCUUUCAGCCAUUACGCGGUAGUGGCAGAAGAAGCACCGGCUAACUACGUGCCAGCCGCCGCGGUAAUUC